rnacentral:misc_RNA from 1 species
UGGAAGUAAAAAAUCGUACCAAGGUUUCCGUAGGUGAACCUGCGGAAGGAUCAUUAAAAUAAUACUUACACUUUGCAUUUGCGAACAAAAAAAUAAAUCUUUUAUUCGAAUUUCUUAAUAUCAAAACUUUCAACAACGGAUCUCUUGGUUCUCGCAUCGAUGAAGAACGCAGCGAAUUGCGAUACGUAGUAUGACUUGCAGACGUGAAUCAUCGAAUCUUUGAACGCACAUUGCGCCUCGAGGCAUUCCUCGAGGCAUGCCUGUUUGAGCGUCGCAUCCCCUCUAACCCCCGGUUAGGCGUUGCUCCGAAAUAUCAACCGCGCUGUCAAACACGUUUACAGCACGACAUUUCGCCCUCAAAUCAGGUAGGACUACCCGCUGAACUUAAGCAUAUCAAUA